ensembl:lncRNA
GGGCCUGGAGGCGGGGCCUGGGGCUGUCAGUCCCGCGCCCGCCGCCACUGCCGCCGCCGCCGCCGCGGUUCCUUACAUGCGGUGGCCCCGGUGGCUGCCAGCGCUGUCGCCCGUCGCCCGCCGCCUCGGCAUCCCGAGCCGCCUCUCGCCGUGCCGCCCUGGCGCGCAGGUGUUCAUGAAAAAAUGCACAAAAUCCUGACUGGCCGGAAUAAUUCAUGAAGAAGGGGCUGGAUCCGUGGGUCAGAGAACACAGGACCAGUUUGCCAUCCCAAGGCCGAAGGGCUUGCUGCACGUCCACGGAGUUCGUGCUGCAUGUGAGGGGGCGCAGAAGGGCCUCUGUUGUCUGCUGACAGCAUCCCCUUCCUGGGGAGCAGCACCGCUGAGUCGGUCAGAGGACCAAGGUUCAAACCCCAGCUUCACCGCUUAUUAACUGGAUGAUCCUGGUCUGGUGUCUCGGAUUUGACCCUGCGUUGCCCACUCCUGCUGGAUCUUGUCCAGUCGAGGGACAAAACGUCCUGACACCCUCCUGAAGAAUGGGAAGAAAGGAGAUUCUGGAAGCACAGAUUGCAAUACCAUGCUAGAGGCCGAGGAGACCGACGCGAAGGGAUUGCUCCCACACCAACAGGAGCCCUGAGGACGACUGGAGCUGGAGGCACGCAGGCCCAAGAAGGGUGGAAAUGCCAGCAGUGACCAAGAGCCACCCACAGCGGUUCCCGAGCAGUCUGUCCAGGAUCCACCGAAUGGAGGGCACACGGCAGGUCUCUCUCACUUGGCAACUGCAACUUUGCAACCUGGAACAAAGGCCAGAAAAGCCCAAGAAGGAGCACAAGUCCAAGAGCUUUCAGAGUAACCUUGAGAAAAUUGUCUACUGAAUGGUGACCCGUUCUGCCACUGGAUAUUGGGAGAAGAGACGUUCCCUCGCACGUUGGAUCCCAUCAUACCUGGAUGCCAUUCCUCACAGACUUUGAAGAUUUUAUAUCCACCUUUAAGCAUGCUCUUCCUGUUUCAGCUCUAGGAGUUCUGGUUAACAUUCUCUAUGAGAAAAUGUUCACUUUUUCUCCCUUCGAGUUCUGGAUUAAACUGUCUUACCUGGAGCUGGGUCAGUUGAGGCUAGAGGCACCUCCACACAGUCCUGUUUCUCAGAAGUUGCCAGGUUCAUGUCAUACUUGUUUCAUUUGCGAACAGGGGUCCUCCUCUGACAGAUGCUAUCUGGCCUGGUCAGUGUGGCUCCUGGUCUGCUCUUUGGUGCCUUUCUCUCCUCCCCGUCCCAGGUGAGACUCACCCAGCGGUGACCCUGCGUCUCCUGGUGAGGACCACAUUUGCGGUGGAUGUGCUUUGGCUGGAUGUGUGAGAGAAAGCGUGGUCUGAUGGAACCAACAUCUUUGUAAAUUUGGAGGUGACUGGAGCACGGCUGCAUCCCGGGGAAAGGGAGCUUUAGGGGAGGCCAGUCCUUACCUCAGUGUUCCACCUGGCUCCACCCUCGUAACGCUUACUCUCAUCUUUUUAGUGUCUGUUCUGAUUUAGGGUAGUUAUUCUUUUCUUUAUUCGAUUAAAAGUAACUUUGGUUGUUAUUUUUUAUUUUUGCAAAUCACAUGCUUAUUACAAAAACAGCAAAAAUAUAGUCAGGUAAAAGAGGAAAAAACAAGCCUAAAUCCUACUUACCCCAAAGACAACCAUUGAGAUUCUGUUGAAGAGCCUUCCAGAUCCCUUUCUAGGCAUACCGUAUCGUGGAUAGAUAGAUAGAUAGAUAGAUAGAUAGAUAGAUAGAUAAAUGUAACUGUAAUGUCACAAUUCCACAUAUAUUCUUUGAUAACACACAU